GACUUCCAAAACAGCUCCGAUGUGGUUCCUGGCCGGCUUCACCCAGAACCUAGUUCCGGUGGCCCCCAGUGAAUUGAGUUUGAGACCCCUGAUCUACAUAUUAUUUGUAUUACUCCACCUACGUAACCAUCACCUACAUAUUGUCCCAGGACUGGGGGUGUGAAUGUCUGUCAGAAUUGUGGGCCAACAUGAUGCUCACCUUCCGCUGGUGGGCCAGAGCCUCUUCCUUGUCGUUCAGCUGCGGGCAGAAAACCUGAUGCGGCCCAGCCUCGCCCAGACCCUAGCUCCAGUGGCCCCCAGAAUCUUCAGAGCUUCAAAUUUGCCUUCCAGGAUUCUUGCAGUCGGACUCUCAAGUCUUCCUUGGACAUGUCAGUCAGCGAGUCUGCUGCUUUGAUGAAAGUUGCGUUCAAAGUCAGAGAUGAAAAGAUGUUUCCAUGACCACAGUAACAGAACAAACAUGGCUGUGUGAAGUCUCAUCACCAUUGAACGGCACCUUCCAACCUUGCUGCCAGUCCGCAGUCAUCAGUUUGGAUGUCCAGGCUGCUUCCCGUGCCUGGUUGCUGCUUCGAUCUCCAUCCACCAUGUCGUCAUCCA